rnacentral:rRNA from 1 species
GACGAACGCUGGCGGCGUGCUUAACACAUGCAAGUCGAACGAUGAAGAAAAGAAUUGAAGCUUCGGCAGAAAUUCAUUUCGGAUUAGUGGCAGACGGGUGAGUAACGCGUGAGCAACCUACCUCUUACAAAGGGAUAGCCUCGGGAAACCGGGAUUAAUACCAUAUAACAUUGCGACGAAGCAUUUCGAUGCAAUCAAAGCUACGGCGGUAAGUGAUGGGCUCGCGUCCCAUUAACCAGAUGGUGAGGUAACGGCUCACCAUAGUAACGAUGGGUAACCGGCCUGAGAGGGUGAACGGUCACACUGGAACUGAGACACGGUCCAGACUCCUACGGGAGGCAGCAGUGGGGAAUAUUGCACAAUGGAGGGAACUCUGAUGCAGCGACGCCGCGUGAGUGAUGAAGGAAUUCGUUUCGUAAAACUCUGUUCUAUGGGAAGAAAAGGACUGUACCAUAGGAGAAAGCGCCGGCUAAAUACGUG